CGGACGGAUAGUCUUGUCAAGUGGUUACUGAAAUUUAAAAAUGUGAGGAAAUGUUAGUGCAGUUGUAGAUAGCCUUAGUUGUGCAUUGCUCUUUUUGCAUCAAUCAAUAUUAUCAGGUGGGCCAGAGGAGUUAUCUAAAGCAUUGGGGCAUUUUGGGAACUUGUGUGAAUUAAACUACUGUAUAAAUAUUUCUUAUAUAUAUUAAGUAUGUCAUGCCA